rnacentral:rRNA from 1 species
UGAGUUUACGCUCUAUAACCCUUUGUGAACAUACCUAUAACUGUUGCUUCGGCGGGUAGGGUCUCCGCGACCCUCCCGGCCUCCCGCCUCCGGGCGGGUCGGCGCCCGCCGGAGGAUAACCAAACUCUGAUUUAACGACGUUUCUUCUGAGUGGUACAAGCAAAUAAUCAAAACUUUUAACAACGGAUCUCUUGGUUCUGGCAUCGAUGAAGAACGCAGCGAAAUGCGAUAAGUAAUGUGAAUUGCAGAAUUCAGUGAAUCAUCGAAUCUUUGAACGCACAUUGCGCCCGCCAGCAUUCUGGCGGGCAUGCCUGUUCGAGCGUCAUUUCAACCCUCAAGCUCUGCUUGGUGUUGGGGCCCUACAGCUGAUGUAGGCCCUCAAAGGUAGUGGCGGACCCUCCCGGAGCCUCCUUUGCGUAGUAACUUUACGUCUCGCACUGGGAUCCGGAGGGACUCUUGCCGUAAAACCCCCCAAUUUUCCAAAGGUUGACCUCGGAUCAGGUAGGAAUACCCGCUGAACUUAAGCAUAUCAAUAAGCGGAGGAAAAGAAACCAACAGGGAUUGCCUCAGUAACGGCGAGUGAAGCGGCAACAGCUCAAAUUUGAAAUCUGGCCCUAGGCCCGAGUUGUAAUUUGCAGAGGAUGCUUUUGGUGCGGUGCCUUCCAAGUUCCCUAGAACGGGACGCCAGAGAGGGUGAGAGCCCCGUACAGUUGGACACCAAGCCUUUGUAAAGCUCCUUCGACGAGUCGAGUAGUUUGGGAAUGCUGCUCAAAAUGGGAGGUAUAUUUCUUCUAAAGCUAAAUACCGGCCAGAGACCGAUAGCGCACAAGUAGAGUGAUCGAAAGAUGAAAAGCACUUUGAAAAGAGGGUUAAACAGCACGUGAAAUUGUUAAAAGGGAAGCGCUUGUGACCAGACUUGCGUCCGGUGAAUCACCCAGCUCUCGCGGCUGGGGCACUUCGCCGGCUCAGGCCAGCAUCAGCUCGCUGUCGGGGACAAAAGCUUCAGGAACGUAGCUCUCUUCGGGGAGUGUUAUAGCCUGUUGCAUAAUACCCUUCGGCGGGCUGA